UACAGAGGUCCCAAGCGUUUGUUCGGAUUCACUGGGCGUAAAGGGUGCGUAGGUGGUGAGGUAAGUCGGAUGUGAAAUCUCCGAGCUCAACUCGGAAAUGGCAUUGGAAACUACCUUGCUAGAGGGUUGGAGGGGGGACUGGAAUACUUGGUGUAGCAGUGAAAUGCGUAGAUAUCAAGUGGAACACCAGUGGCGAAGGCGAGUCUCUGGACAUUUCCUGACGCUGAGGCACGAAAGCCAGGGGAGCAAACGGG
rnacentral:rRNA from 1 species